GAAUUUUAUUCUAUUGCGUAAAAUUGAGUUACUGAGUAAAAAAAAAAAAAGUUUUCUUUUAAAAAUGAUUUUAACGUCAAAUGUUCAACUAUUAACCCUUAUCAUCGCUAUAUUGACGAUAAUUAUUCAAUUUUCGAACGCAAACAUAUAUGGUAAAUAUCUCUACAAAUAUACAAUUUAUAUUAUAAGUGGUAAAAGUUUGACAUUGAAUCAAAUUCAAUCUUCUUUUAGUUAUUUUAUCUGUUUUUAAAUGUAUACAUUAUACUCGUAUGAUUAACACGUUAAUCAUUUAUACGUUAGGUAUAAGUAAACAAAUUUGAGUGGUUAAGUCAUAGAUAAUGCCUAAUAGUUGCAUGAAAAAUAUUAUGACUAUGCUUCUAUAGUAAGACUUAAAACAAUUAUCUGCCGAGUAAAUUUUCCCUUGAGGAGAAGUGAAUGAAAUGCGUACGUACCUAUAAUAUAUUUAAGACUUGAGUUUUUGCCAGUUUCCUACACAACAUAGCUGUCCGUAUUGGAUUGUAAUGAAUUAAAAAUAUAUGCUUACUUAACAUUUGUUUUAAACCUCCACGAAUUGUUGUAAAUCCGCAUUAGUUCCAAAGAAAUUAAUUAUUUUUUUAACUGUUUUGGACUAUUUGUAAAUGUCUGAAGGUGAAGUAACGUUAAAAAAUUAAAACCUCAAUGCGCCGAGCCGACUAAGCAACAUUUUCUACCAUAAAUCACCCCUGAAGUUGAUGACAACAUUUUGGUAGAAAAUAUCGAAUGUCGAAUCACGAAUAAUAUGCAUGAUUAAAUAUCUACCAACUAUAUUUUAUGAUAAAAAAUGUCAACAGUACGGCAGUGCCCCCUGGACACGGGGUUGAAUAAUAUAAUAACUAUUAACUGCAGUUUAUUAGAAAUUUUAAUCUUAGGUAGGCGAACUACACACAUAUGUAUUCAUAGUUAUGGUGACUUACACGUCAUACAUAAUAUACUAAUGAUUAAUAAUUGUUUUUACCGGGUGUUUUUUUUUUUUUUUUUUUUAGGAUUAAAACUACUACAAGACCCUUUUUUUGAACGAAAUAUUAAACGGGAUUACAGUGAGUUAUAACACGAAUUAAUGUAUACAUUUUAUUAUGCAAUAUAAUUUACUCAAAAUACGAGUACUAUAACGUCGGGUUUACCUACAAGCGACCCUCAAUUUUCGGUAACUCUUCGAAGUUUCCCAUUUCAAUGUCGCAAAUAACAAUAUGUAUAUAAUUAUAGCCGCUGAUACAGACGAUCAAGACGAUGGUAAGAAAACUAUUUUGAAUUUGUAAAUAAAAAAAACAACGAAGAUAAUCAUAUUAUUAAGCAAAUAAGCAAAUCACGUAUAUAUAUUAUAUUUGCUUCUAAAUAAAAUCAAAAUAACUUAACAUACGUAGGUACCCACUAAAUAACGUUUUUAUAAAAUAACAAAGUAAAAGUGGCAAUAUAAAUAUUCGGUGAAAAUUUAAGGUUUCUAAGAAUAUUUCUAACCAAAGCACAGCAAAAUUACAAAAUCGAAAGGUUUUCGGCAUACAUUUUCCCGUUUUUUUUAAAUAUUUUUUUCCCAUCUCCUAAAAAAAUCAAAAAAUGGCUUUCUCAAUGCAUCAGCUAAAUUGCCCCGUGUAUGUAUGGUCCCAUAUUUGGUUACCAUUUAUUAUGAUUGUAUGACCUAAUGCACGAGUCCGUUUAAUCAACAAACGUGAACGUAAAAGAGUUUAUUUUUUAGUAAAAUGUAUAAAAAUGCAUGUACAUAUUAGUACUAAUUUUUUAAUCUACCUGUAUCCAUGUCUAUUAAUCUAUUGAAUUCUAUCAAACAGCAAUGUACCAACUCAUAUUAUUAAGUUGAGUUGCAGUUAUAUAGGCGCAAUAAAGUUAAGUAGGCACCUAUAUUUAUACUUUAAGGAUAAAUAAUACAUUUCGAAUUUGUUACUUGUAAUUUUAUUAUAAUAAUAUGAGCAACCUAAUUGUACUGUAUCUAUAUUUAUUCAUAACGCUUAAAUCAUAUGAACCAUGUAAUCAUAUUUAGAUAUAUUAAAAAAAAAAAAAUCUUUAAGUCAUAUCUGGCGUCACAACCAGCUAGGAUGAGGGUUUGGGGAUGUAACCACCGACUCCCCCUUCUCGAAAUUUGAUAUUUUGUAUUAAUAUAAUGAUUAAUAAUUUGUAUUGCAAUAACAGAUAUUUCUUUGUAAUUUUAAAUACGUUUACGUCGUGCACGUUAAAUAUGUUUUCAUUAACUAUCCCAAAAACCUGUCCGGAAAUUUGUAUGAAAUUCCUAACCACCCCGAAAAUUAAUCCCGGUUGCUCUACUGGCCAUAUCGGCAAUAUGUUUUAAAUGAUCAUGUUUUUUUAGAACCAUUCAAAGGAUUAGAAGACGGCGAAUAUCACCUUUGUGAAAAGUGUACGAUAUUUUAUU